CUAGCUCAGUUGGUGGUAAGACAAAGACUCUAUAUCAAUCUACUCUCAAACAGGAAAUGACUAUGGCUUUUCUGUGCUCCAGAGACUAGUUGAAGAGCAUUUGUGGUUAUCAACCAGUAAGAGAGUUUCCUUCUGUAUGAACAGUGCGUGUGUGAUGGCCCAGACAAAAGAUCAAAACUUUGGGCAGUCGUCAGGCACUAACUCUGCCCUUCACAGACUGGACACUUUAGCUAGCCGUUUUUUUUACAAAUACCGGAAAGGAAACCAGGAGAAAGGACUAGAGAAUGAAGGGCCACAUGUGUCAGAGUACACUGGCCUUUGGGACGCAACAAUGAAAGAAGUCUUGACAAAAGCCAAAGAAGAUUUUUUGAUUAAAUGGGAGAGUCAGGCACAGAACACAUCAUGUCUUGAUGACUUUGACAGACUGAAAACUCUUGGGACUGGAUCUUUUGGAAGAGUAAUGCUAGUCAAGCACAGACAGUCGGGACAAUACUAUGCUAUGAAGAUUCUGGACAGGCAAAAAGUGGUGAAGCUCAAACAGGUAGAACACACAUUAAAUGAGAAGAAAAUAUUACAAGCAGUUUCCUUUCCUUUCCUUGUGAAGCUGGAGUGCGCUUUUAAGGAUAAUUCAAAUUUGUACAUGGUCAUGGAAUAUAUCCAAGGCGGUGAGAUGUUCUCACAUUUAAGACGGAUUGGAAGAUUCAGUGAGCAGAAUGCACGUUUCUAUGCUGCUCAGAUUGUUCUGACGUUCGAGUAUCUACAUACUCUAGACCUUAUCUACAGGGACCUGAAACCUGAAAACUUGCUCAUUGAUCAUCAGGGAUACAUCCAGGUAACAGACUUCGGCUUUGCCAAACGAGUGAAAGGCAGAACUUGGACAUUGUGCGGUACACCCGAGUACCUGGCACCAGAGAUCAUUCUCAGCAAGGGCUACAACAAAGCUGUUGACUGGUGGGCAUUGGGUGUUCUGAUCUAUGAAAUGGCUGCUGGAUAUCCACCUUUCUUCGCUGAUCAACCUAUUCAGAUCUAUGAGAAAAUCGUAUCUGGCAAGGUACGAUUCCCCUCACACUUCAGUUCAGACCUGAAGGAUGUUCUGCGCAAUCUGCUGCAAGUGGACCUCACAAAGCGCUUUGGCAAUUUGAAAAAUGGAGUCAGUGACAUCAAAAACCACAGAUGGUUUGCUACGACAGACUGGAUCGCAAUCUAUGAGAAGAAGGUCGAUGCUCCGAUCAUACCAAAGUGCAGAGGGCCUGGAGACACAAGUAACUUUGAUGAAUAUGAUGAGGAAAACAUACGGGUAUCUGUCACAGAGAAAUGUACAAAAGAGUUCUUGGAGUUCUAGGGUACCUGCAUGUAAAAGCUUUAUUAGGAGCUUUAAAAAGGUAAAAAUAGGCUAUCAGGUUGAUUAAUCUAUCCAUGCUUGUGAACAACUACAUUUCCCAUCGUUCGAGACUACAUUACCCACGAUCCCCCGUUCCUGCAUUUGUCGGAUUGUGCUGGGCGAAAAAAGCGUAAUAUUGUUCCAAUGAUCGGGAAUCAAUAACAUCCAAGCCAUCUACAUAAAUCAUCCAAUCAUAAAACAAAUUGAAUCAAUUCUCUGACUACACAAAGAUUUAUCCAGAAGCUUGGAUGUUUGUGUAA